UUUUUUUAUUGUAUAAUCCUGAUUUUUGCCAUGAUUUUGUAGGUCUCUCUAAGUGUUUUGUAGACAUUGUAUAAUCCUGAUUUUUGCCAUGAUUUUGUAGGUCUCUCUAAGUGUUUUGUAGACUUUGUAUAAUCCUGAUUUUUGCCAUGAUUUUGUAGGUCUCUCUAAGUGUUUUGUAGACUUUGUAUAAUCCUGAUUUUUGCC